rnacentral:rRNA from 1 species
AUGGAAUCGGCCAUCUUGCUGUCGACAGUGUUCUUGAUGUUGUACACGUAUGUCUCUAGCUUGUUCCCGAGCGUCGACCCGCUCCUUGAGCUUGUGAUCCGCCUCGGCGAACUCCUCUGCCUCGCGCACCAUCCUUUCGAUGUCCUCCUGGCUAUGCCGAUGGUCCUCAUUGGUGAUGGUAAUCUUCUCCGACUUGCCGGUGCCCUUGUCCGCCGCCUUCACGUGCAGGAUGCCAUUCACGUCCACCUCGAACAUCACCUCAAUCUGCGGCGUGCCCCUCGGAGCCGGUGGGAUCCCAGAGAGGUCAAACUUGCCGAUGAGCCUAUUGUCCUUGGUCAAAUCUCACCGGAUCUGGAGAGCGGCAAGAAGACCGAGCUACCUGCUCCUCGGUGGCACCCAUUAGAACGUCAGCAAGAUGGAGGAAGAGCAGAAGCAUAUUAUUCUGACACAGCGCUGUCUCCACCAUUGAUGUAG